UACGUAGGUGGCGAGCGUUGUCCGGAUUUACUGGGCGUAAAGGGAGCGUAGGCGGACUUUUAAGUGAGAUGUGAAAUACCCGGGCUCAACUUGGGUGCUGCAUUUCAAACUGGAAGUCUAGAGUGCAGGAGAGGAGAAUGGAAUUCCUAGUGUAGCGGUGAAAUGCGUAGAGAUUAGGAAGAACACCAGUGGCGAAGGCGACUUCCUGGCACAAUACUGACGCUCAGGCACGAAGGCGUGGGGAUCAAACAGGAUUAGAUACCCGU
rnacentral:rRNA from 1 species